UUACGGUCAUAUCACGUCGAAACAUUGGUUACCAUACGAUCACCGAAGUUAAGGAACGCCGAGUCUGGUUAGUACCCAGAUCGGUGAUCUCUUGGUAAUAACAGGUGCUGUAA